CCUUGACUUCCUUCCCUCCUGCUUCUGACACCAGCUAGGAAUUGUGCUGGAGCUCAGGGCGAGAGCUGAAAAGCCAAAGGUCCUAGGCUCUGCAGAAGCAGGCAGUGGGCUGGAUUUAGCCCAGUGGUCCCCUUGCCCUAUGGAGUAGCCACUGUGAGUACCCAGAGUUCCCCAGUGAUGAAGAAACUGAGGCCUCCUAGGGUGACAAGAUGGAGAAUGACAGAGCACUGACUGACAGGUCUUGCUAAACUGCAGAGUUGCCCGGACUGGGCUCAAACUUGAGAUCGUCAUGCUUCAGCCUCCCAGAUUGCUGGAGUCAUAGGCUCAUAUCUGGAUAUUUUUUUUUUUGAUGGUUGUUGUUGGUCACUAUAUCCCUACA